rnacentral:rRNA from 1 species
GAGGGCGUGAAACCGCUGAGAAGGAAGCGGAUAGAGUUAACGAAACUCAGUGGUAUUCAUCCGGGUUGCUGUCGUUGCUGGUUGCCAGGCUCUACUACCCACUGGGUAGAUGUUUGGUGGCUUUUCGAUGAUGGUGCUUGGUGUAUUUGCCAUUGGUACGCGCUGAGAAAUUCGCUGUGGUACGUUGAAACCAUUUCAAUGAUCGCCUGAUGCUUAUGUGUCGGGAAAGUUUUGGUGGUGAAGGCGUAUCCGCGGUGGAUGCUGCUUCGCAGUGCUACGCUAGCUAGUAAGCGUAACGGCUGCUGUCAUGGUUGGUGUAGCUAUUGGGCGGUCGCAUGCGACUUGCUUAUAGUUGAUGCUGGCCUGCGGUGGUGCGGUUACGUUAGCGUUGGCGUCUCGGUGUGAAAGUUGACCACCUAUCCGACCCGUCUUGAAACACGGACCAAGGAGUUUAGCAUAUGCGCAAGUCAUUGGGUUGUAAACCUAAAGGCGUAAUGAAAGUGGAGACUGUUUCAAUGCAGUUGAUAUGGGAUCCGUGUAGCUUCGGCUACUGCGGCGCACCAUAGCCCCGUCCUCGUUGCUUGCAAUAGGGCGGAGGAAGAGCGCAUACGCUGAGACCCGAAAGAUGGUGAACUAUGCCUGAGCAGGAUGAAGCCAGAGGAAACUCUGGUGGAAGUCCGAAGCGGUUCUGACGUGCAAAUCGAUCGUCUGACUUGGGUAUAGGG